ACCUUCUAGAAACUCUUUCUCUCCCUACUCUAAAUCCAAACGACAUCUUAAACUGUGAAUUGAAGCAGAAGCGUCAUGUACUUCCUCUAUAAAACCCAGAAUGACCAGUUCCAUAUGUGAUUCAGUGAUUGCCUUACCUCCAUCGGCCCUUCAUCUUCCAAGUUCAGUGUUUUCAACAUAUGUGACGGUGUAGAAGGAUGUAGAGAAGAGACUCACGCACAUUCUUUUAUUGUCUUCCCCUAUUGCUUAAAUCCUGCUUUCCAAACGACUUAAUUCCAUUAUUUGCAUAAUUCUCCUUUGCUAUGUGACUUAGGCUUAGUAUUUUCUUGCCUUCGGGUCAAAGUCACCAUAGUCACAUCCAACUUAUUGGAGAGAUUUGUCAAAGGAUUCACUCCCAAAGCAUCCAUUUUUGUUAGGUGAUUUUUGUUCUUCAUUUUAUAAUUUUAUCUUGACUGUAUGGUGAUUUCAAUUCCUAGAAAUCUUCGAUUGGGGAAAAUUUUGGCUCUCAAAUCUUAUAUAUAAUGCAACCAUAUUAAUGAAUAACUCUUUUAUUGUGAUGAUUAACUCUUUUACAAGUUACAGUCGAUAACUUGAUUUACUCUUUGACAA